UCAAGGUUUAUUUCGAUACAACCACUGGUGACUUCACGUGUUGCACAACAGCAGGACCACAAUUCCUUCCACCUUGGGAAACUUUUGCAUAGUGCCCUCCAGCCCUGCCACUGAAUCCAAAGGGCUCUGUGGAAGCUGUGUCAGUGGCCAUGAUUUGGUAUCCACAGGCUGUUGGGUGUUGAAUGUUCCCACUUCACUUGUACACUUGAAUUCUGUGCAACCCCUGCAGAGCAACUGGUAUGGGCCUCCCGUGUGACUCAGAAAGCAGUGACAGGCGAGGCUGGAUGACUCUGAGAUAGUUUUGUUUGAAAGACUUCUCACCCUUGAGUUUACCGGAUUCUGUGCUGCAUGAUCUCAUUGCUGCUAUCUCACCCUCUCUCCACCCUUCCCUCCCGUUGUUUGCUAUUGUAACUGAAGAUGAGACCCAAAAAGUUAAACAAACUUCUUAAAAACAGGGAACGCAUCAUCCUGUGUGUUUAUGCAGCAUUAAACACAACAAGAUCUUUAUCUGGAGAUACUGGAGACUGGGCGCUUAUUGGAUAUAAAUGAGCAAAGUUCCCAUCAACUCCAUGAUUUACACCAAUGUAAUGUUUGGCGCCAGGCUGUAUAAAGACGAGCAAGAAAAAAAAAGAAAAAAAAAAAAGAAGAAAAACGUGACUUCACAGACUUGUCCUUUAAAGCAUGAGAGCUUUUCUUACUAUUCAACAGUUAAAAAGUAGGAAAAAUUGAAAAUUAAAACACAUAGACUGACAAUAAUUACAAUCCCAAGCUUUAAAUUUAUGAAUAUGUCUUUAAACCCAACUCUGUUCUUUUCCACAGGGCAGUAAAGUGGUGAGCCAAAACCUCAGUUCUGAAUUUCUCUACAUCUUAGAGGCCACUGCUUGGAAUUUUCCUCCCCAAACAAGUUAUAGCAAUUAAAUUAAUAAUGGCACAGCAAUGCAGAAAGUCAGAGCACUGUCCCAACUCGGUUUAGUUUUUUGUAUAUGUAGCAGGUGAAGAAACUAGGGACCAGAGUAAGGUUCAAACCAGAGAUACUUUGAGUGAGGAGAAGUGACAGCACAACCUUGCACCUGUCCUUGUGUACAUGACCUGGCACUUGUGUCAACUUGUGCUAAUGCAGAGGGUGGUGGAAGAACAUCAUCCCAUCAACUCUGUCAUCAGGUGGCUUUGUGUUUGAAGUGAUGAGAAAACCUGGCUGGGGAGGCAGGAACACUUCUGGGCUUUCCUAGCUCUUAGAAUCACAGAAUCAUAAAAUCAUAGAACUGCUCAGGUUGGAAAAGACCUUAAAGAUCAUCAAGUCCAACCUGACCAUACUACUCUAACUCUAACAACCCUUCGCUAAAUCAUGUCCCUGAGCACCACCUCCAAGAGGCUUUUAAACACAUACAGAGAUGAUGACUCAACCACCUCCCUGGGGAACCCAGUCCAGUGUUUAACCACCCUUUCUGUAAAGUUUUUCCUGAUAUCCAACCUAAAUCUCCCUUGGCACAACUGGAGGCCAUUUCCCCUCGUCCUGUCACUUGUCACCAAUGAGAAGAGACAAACCCUGCUCUCGCUGCAAUCACCUUUCAGGUAUUGGAAGAGAGCAAUAACAUCUCUCCUCAUCCUUCUUUUCCCCAGACUAAAUAGCCCCAGUUCCUUCAGUCUCUCCACAUAGGCCAUAUUCUCCAAGCCCCCCACAAACCUUGUUGCCCUUCUUUGGACCUGCUCCAGCACCUCAUGUCCUUUAUAUACUGAGGUGCUCAAAACUGAACACAGUACUCAACAGAGACCUCACCAGUGAUGAGUACAGGGGAAAUCUUCCUCAGUACUGCCCUGGGUGGCUUACAUGAAAACUGCUUUGUAAAAGAUUGGAAAAAUUCUAAUUUGAAAAGGUUUAAAAGACUGACCUUAUUUUAAUUUACCAUUCAAAUUAGAAUGGUAAAAUGUUCAUUUCCUACUUCAAAUAGUUAAUAUUUUGCCUUUGAUUUAUUGACUCUUCUUUUUAACUAGAAAUCAAGGUAAAGCAAGUUUGGUUUUGUGAGUUGAUUUCUCUUUCUGCAAAAAUAAAAACCAAUAUCAUAA